UGGCUAAGCAAAAAGGGGA
rnacentral:misc_RNA from 1 species